AAAAAAAAGAAGUGUUCUGUAAUAAAAGUGAACUGAUAAGCUCUGGGCAUCCCUGAGAAUUUGUUUUCCUUUCAGAAAGUUUCCUACACUACUGAGGUUUAGGGGCACUGUGAAGCAAAAGCCACGCCUCAGAAUCCCAGGCGGAGACUCCGACCUCCUCCCGGGAGGGAAGCCAGUAGCUGAGCACCUGCGGGAGAUUAAAGAGAGGAAUAAGGAGAACGUCUGUGCUCCAGAAACACUGGAAGGCAAGUGGCUGCUCGCUGGAGGAGAUAAUUGGAUGCUGCAAGCGGCAAAGGGCUCGGGAUGCAAAACACCGCAAGAAAUGCGACAAGGGAGGAGCAUUCCCGCAAAGAAAAAACGCACAGGCCGAGAGCAGUGGCUCACGCCUGUAAUUCCAGCACUUUGGGAGGCCGAGGCAGGUGCAUCGCUUGAGGACAGGCGUUCGAGACUAGCCUGGCCAACAUGGUGAAAC
rnacentral:lncRNA from 1 species